GGCAAAAAGCCUGAAGGAAAUGAUUUUACGCACCUGAACAAAUACAAUAAGCUGUAGUUGUACUAGUGAUUAUUGUGUCCCUUUAACUGAUAUGCAGAAUUAUAAUGCAUCAUGGAUGCCAGAAUCCAUGUUGUUUGUUCAUACAAUACGGUUGAGUUGACCCAAAGUUCAUGUUUCAAACCAGGACAAAUACUGAUUCCUAACCAUAAAUUUGGGGGUAUUCUCUCUUACAUGGGAGGAUUUACAGUGGAACCAGAAUUUAAGGCAUAUUUUUAUUAUUUAUAUAGCGCCAUCAGAUUCCAUAGCUGUACAAAGGGUAGAGUAACCAG